AUUGAACGCUGGCGGCAGGCCUAACACAUGCAAGUCGAACGGCAGCACAGAAGAGCUUGCUCUUUGGGUGGCGAGUGACGGACGGGUGAGUAAUGUCUGGGAAACUGCCCGAUGGAGGGGGAUAACUACUGGAAACGGUAGCUAAUACCGCAUAACGUCGCGAGACCAAAGUGGGGGACCUUCGGGCCUCACACCAUCGGAUGUGCCCAGAUGGGAUUAGCUAGUAGGUGGGGUAAUGGCUCACCUAGGCGACGAUCCCUAGCUGGUCUGGGGGGAGGGCCACCCACACUGGAACUGAGCCACGGUCCAGACGCCUACGGGAGGCAGCAGUGGGGAAUAUUGCACAAUGGGCGCAAGCCUGAUGCAGCCAUGCCGCGUGUAUGAAGAAGGCCUUCGGGUUGUAAAGUACUUUCAGCGGGGAGGAAGGCGGUGAGGUUAAUAACCUCGCCGAUUGACGUUACCCGCAGAAGAAGCACCGGCUAACUCCGUGCCAGCCGCCGCAGUAA
rnacentral:rRNA from 1 species